GGAUCUUCUAUCAGGGCUACCGCUGCUCGCGCUGUAAAAUGGCUGCUCAUAAAGAGUGUCUGGGUCGAGUUCCUGCGUGCGGACGAAACUCUGAACUGUCAGGAACGCUCAAGAAGAAUAAAACGAUGAGGUUAACGUCUCAAAGACAGACCAAACCAGGUCUGCCGAAGAUGGAGGUGUGUGUGGAUUAUUACGGUCUCCCUCCGCCGCCGCUGACGUUCGGUCAGCCGCUGCUGCUGUCUGUGGGAGAC